UGCUAAUCUGCGAUAAGCGUCGGUAAGGUGAUAUGAACCGUUAUAACCGGCGAUUUCCGAAUGGGGAAACCCAGUGUGAUUCGUCACACUAUCAUUAACUGAAUCCAUAGGUUAAUGAGGCGAACCGGGGGAACUGAAACAUCUAAGUACCCCGAGGAAAAGAAAUCAACCGAGAUUCCCCCAGUAGCGGCGAGCGAACGGGGAGCAGCCCAGAGCCUGAAUCAGUGUGUGUGUUAGUGGAAGCGUCUGGAAAGGCGUGCGAUACAGGGUGACAGCCCCGUACACAAAAAUGCACAUACUGUGAGCUCGAUGAGUAGGGCGGGACACGUGGUAUCCUGUCUGAAUAUGGGGGGACCAUCCUCCAAGGCUAAAUACUCCUGACUGACCGAUAGUGAACCAGUACCGUGAGGGAAAGGCGAAAAGAACCCCGGCGAGGGGAGUGAAAAAGAACCUGAAACCGUGUACGUACAAGCAGUGGGAGCACGCUUAGGCGUGUGACUGCGUACCUUUUGUAUAAUGGGUCAGCGACUUAUAUUCUGUAGCAAGGUUAACCGAAUAGGGGAGCCGAAGGGAAACCGAGUCUUAACUGGGCGUUAAGUUGCAGGGUAUAGACCCGAAACCCGGUGAUCUAGCCAUGGGCAGGUUGAAGGUUGGGUAACACUAACUGGAGGACCGAACCGACUAAUGUUGAAAAAUUAGCGGAUGACUUGUGGCUGGGGGUGAAAGGCCAAUCAAACCGGGAGAUAGCUGGUUCUCCCCGAAAGCUAUUUAGGUAGCGCCUCGUGAAUUCAUCUCCGGGGGUAGAGCACUGUUUCGGCAAGGGGGUCAUCCCGACUUACCAACCCGAUGCAAACUGCGAAUACCGGAGAAUGUUAUCACGGGAGACACACGGCGGGUGCUAACGUCCGUCGUGAAGAGGGAAACAACCCAGACCGCCAGCUAAGGUCCCAAAGUCAUGGUUAAGUGGGAAACGAUGUGGGAAGGCCCAGACAGCCAGGAUGUUGGCUUAGAAGCAGCCAUCAUUUAAAGAAAGCGUAAUAGCUCACUGGUCGAGUCGGCCUGCGCGGAAGAUGUAACGGGGCUAAACCAUGCACCGAAGCUGCGGCAGCGACGCUUAUGCGUUGUUGGGUAGGGGAGCGUUCUGUAAGCCUGUGAAGGUGUGCUGUGAGGUAUGCUGGAGGUAUCAGAAGUGCGAAUGCUGACAUAAGUAACGAUAAAGCGGGUGAAAAGCCCGCUCGCCGGAAGACCAAGGGUUCCUGUCCAACGUUAAUCGGGGCAGGGUGAGUCGACCCCUAAGGCGAGGCCGAAAGGCGUAGUCGAUGGGAAACAGGUUAAUAUUCCUGUACUUGGUGUUACUGCGAAGGGGGGACGGAGAAGGCUAUGUUGGCCGGGCGACGGUUGUCCCGGUUUAAGCGUGUAGGCUGGUUUUCCAGGCAAAUCCGGAAAAUCAAGGCCGAGGCGUGAUGACGAGGCACUACGGUGCUGAAGCAACAAAUGCCCUGCUUCCAGGAAAAGCCUCUAAGCAUCAGGUAACAUCAAAUCGUACCCCAAACCGACACAGGUGGUCAGGUAGAGAAUACCAAGGCGCUUGAGAGAACUCGGGUGAAGGAACUAGGCAAAAUGGUGCCGUAACUUCGGGAGAAGGCACGCUGAUACGUAGGUGAAGCGACUUGCUCGUGGAGCUGAAAUCAGUCGAAGAUACCAGCUGGCUGCAACUGUUUAUUAAAAACACAGCACUGUGCAAACACGAAAGUGGACGUAUACGGUGUGACGCCUGCCCGGUGCCGGAAGGUUAAUUGAUGGGGUUAGCGCAAGCGAAGCUCUUGAUCGAAGCCCCGGUAAACGGCGGCCGUAACUAUAACGGUCCUAAGGUAGCGAAAUUCCUUGUCGGGUAAGUUCCGACCUGCACGAAUGGCGUAAUGAUGGCCAGGCUGUCUCCACCCGAGACUCAGUGAAAUUGAACUCGCUGUGAAGAUGCAGUGUACCCGCGGCAAGACGGAAAGACCCCGUGAACCUUUACUAUAGCUUGACACUGAACAUUGAGCCUUGAUGUGUAGGAUAGGUGGGAGGCUUUGAAGUGUGGACGCCAGUCUGCAUGGAGCCGACCUUGAAAUACCACCCUUUAAUGUUUGAUGUUCUAACGUGGACCCGUGAUCCGGGUUGCGGACAGUGUCUGGUGGGUAGUUUGACUGGGGCGGUCUCCUCCUAAAGAGUAACGGAGGAGCACGAAGGUUGGCUAAUCCUGGUCGGACAUCAGGAGGUUAGUGCAAUGGCAUAAGCCAGCUUGACUGCGAGCGUGACGGCGCGAGCAGGUGCGAAAGCAGGUCAUAGUGAUCCGGUGGUUCUGAAUGGAAGGGCCAUCGCUCAACGGAUAAAAGGUACUCCGGGGAUAACAGGCUGAUACCGCCCAAGAGUUCAUAUCGACGGCGGUGUUUGGCACCUCGAUGUCGGCUCAUCACAUCCUGGGGCUGAAGUAGGUCCCAAGGGUAUGGCUGUUCGCCAUUUAAAGUGGUACGCGAGCUGGGUUUAGAACGUCGUGAGACAGUUCGGUCCCUAUCUGCCGUGGGCGCUGGAGAACUGAGGGGGGCUGCUCCUAGUACGAGAGGACCGGAGUGGACGCAUCACUGGUGUUCGGGUUGUCAUGCCAAUGGCACUGCCCGGUAGCUAAAUGCGGAAGAGAUAAGUGCUGAAAGCAUCUAAGCACGAAACUUGCCCCGAGAUGAGUUCUCCCUGACCCUUUAAGGGUCCUGAAGGAACGUUGAAGACGACGACGUUGAUAGGCCGGGUGUGUAAGCGCAGCGAUGCGUUGAGCUAACCGGUACUAAUGAACCGUGAGGCUUAACCUU
rnacentral:rRNA from 1 species